GUGCUCACUUCAGCAGCACAUACACUAAAAUUGGAAUGAUAUACAGGAGAUUAGCAUGGCCCCUGUGCAAGGAUGACAUGCAAAUUUGUGAAGUGGUAAAAAAAAAA